UAAGACGCUGAGAGCAUUGCACAACCUUAGUCAGAAGUAAUGGGCUUGGAAGCUCCUUGCUGUAGUCGUGGUGAUUUGGAAUGUCCUUUGACCCUCUACUGGAUUUAAUGCCAAUGGAGAGAAAAUGAAAGGACAAACCGUGCAGAAAUACAAGGCAUGACAAUCAUAAGUCUUUCUUCAAGAAAUCCAAAGUAAUGACUUUACUGCUCCAUCCUGCAAUCAACAGAUACUCAGAAACAGCCCAAAGAUGAAUUACUUAGCUAAUUCUUUGGUAUUUUCUCGCAAUCCUCUUUUUCAUUGUACAUUUCAUUUUUUAACAGCCAUUGGUACUGAAACUUAUGUUUGCAAAAGCAAGAGAGUUGAUUAAUAGGUAUUUUAUACAUCUGGUAUUUUCUCAUAAAAGACUAGAAAACUUAUUUCAAUUAUCAUACCACCAACAAGGAUGCAAUCUGUUCACAAGGCCUGUUUACGAGUGGCUGCUUUGGGUAAUGGCUGUUUUCUUAGCAUGGGAAAUGAAAUAUAAUAUUAUUAAGCAGAGAUAUGCAAAAUGAAGUGUCAACUUAUCCAUCUUCCUGAUGUUUAUAGGCUUCAUUUUUUAGAAUGUUUAUUUUAUUUUAUGGGACCACACGUUAAAAUACCUCCUAUUUCAAAGGAUCUAAUUUCUUUUAUUCCGAUUUUAAUGUCCUUGAAUAUUAACAUUCUCAAACUUGUAAGCAAUCAGCUAAGGAAAUCUGUGGUAGGUACUUUAUUAAUUCCAUUUAGAUAAAUGUAUCAUAAUGGGAGAGACAAUAAAAAUGAACACUUUAUCUUUGCCUGAGAAAAAGAACUGGUCUUUGCCAGAAGGAUGGCAUAAAUGAUUUUCACUUUUAGAGGCCACCUGUGAUAAAAUGGGGGAAGGGGUGGCGGUUGGUAGAAAGCAAACCUCUAAUAAUAAUGAGUGUGUGCGUGUGUGCAUGUGCAUGCACGUGUGUGUGUGUGUGUGUGUGUGUGUGUUCAGGAGGGAGAGGGGUUGUGAAUCAAGGCACUGUAAUGGAAAUAAUAAAUCAAUUUUGAAGAGCUUGAGUAAGAUCAUUGGAAAAGUCUAGCUAUAUCUGUUUUUGGCUAAGUGUGGCUCCUUCGUUAUUUCACUAAAUUUCAUUAUCUCUGCAAGGAGUGGAAGUGAGAAAGAAUAAACUUUGUAAAAAGGUAAAUAUCACCACUUAUUUAAUUAUCAUUUCUAUUAUUUUCCCAGGAAGGCAUCCUACUAAUAAAUGGACCUACCUGCAGAUAAAGGAAAGGAAAUCAUAUACUAAAGGAGGAGGAUAACUUUAAACAGUAUAGAUUAUAGAACUCUACAAAGCCCUCUUGCAAAAUAUAUUAAAUUCCUUUAUAUGAGGAAAAGGAAUAUUAACACUGGCAAGAUAUAUACUGGGGUGUCC
rnacentral:lncRNA from 10 species